CAGUAGCCGCGGUAAUACGUAGGUGGCAAGCGUUGUCCGGAAUUAUUGGGCGUAAAGCGCGCGCAGGCGGAUAGGUCAGUCUGUCUUAAAAGUUCGGGGCUUAACCCCGUGAUGGGAUGGAAACUGCCAAUCUAGAGUAUCGGAGAGGAAAGUGGAAUUCCUAGUGUAGCGGUGAAAUGCGUAGAUAUUAGGAAGAACACCAGUGGCGAAGGCGACUUUCUGGACGAAAACUGACGCUGAGGCGCGAAAGCCAGGGGAGCGAACGGGAUUAGAUACCCCUGUAGUCCAUGUCUCUUAUACU
rnacentral:rRNA from 1 species